GCGACGGUAGCUUAGUUGGCAGAGUAGUGAGAUGAUACCCCACGGUUCCGAAUUCAAGUCCCGGCCGACGCU